AGCGGGACGGAGCUCAGGCCCUGCCGGCGACGCGCUCGUUCAUCCCAGGUGUCAAAGCCCAUCCAGGAGGGAGAAAAGAGGAAAAUAUACAGGAAACUAAUUAUGCAGUUCAGAGCAUCUUGGAAAUUAAUAAAGCUGAUAAGGAAGGAGGCUGGAAAGCCUGGGUGCAGCAAUACUUUCUGCAGUAUCACAAACUGCAGACCUAUAAAGCUGGAAGAGGAGAAGCCACGAUUGCCCCUGUGCAGCUGGGCGGAAGACAAAGUAGGACGGAGGCUUGCAGAGAGACAGGAUCAAGACCUGAAGAAGCCAUUGAUUUACUUUCAGAUUUUAAAAAAUGCUCUCUCGGAACCUCGUGAAGCAGCACAACUGACAACCAAAUAUUAAUAAACGGCACUUUGCUGGGACGGCGUCCCUGGAAGAUA